GAAAUAGAACCUGAAACCGUGUGCCUACAACAAGUCAAAGCCCGUUAAUGGGUGAUGGCGUGCCUUUUGUAGAAUGAACCGGCGAGUUACGAUUGCAUGCGAGGUUAAGUUGAAGAGACGGAGCCGCAGCGAAAGCGAGUCUGAAUAGGGCGUUUGAGUAUGUAGUCGUAGACCCGAAACCAUGUGAUCUACCCAUGUCCAGGUUGAAGGUGCGGUAAAACGCACUGGAGGACCGAACCCACGUACGUUGAAAAGUGCGGGGAUGAGGUGUGGGUAGCGGAGAAAUUCCAAACGAACUUGGAGAUAGCUGGUUCUCUCCGAAAUAGCUUUAGGGCUAGCCUCGGAAUUGAGAAUGAUGGAGGUAGAGCACUGUUUGGACUAGGGGCCCAUCUCGGGUUACCGAAUUCAGAUAAACUCCGAAUGCCAUUCAUUCAUAUCCGGGAGUCAGACUGUGAGUGAUAAGAUCCAUAGUCGAAAGGGAAACAGCCCAGACCACCAGCUAAGGUCCCAAAAUAUAUGUUAAGUGGAAAAGGAUGUGGGGUUGCACAGACAACUAGGAUGUUGGCUUAGAAGCAGCCACCAUUUAAAGAGUGCGUAAUAGCUCACUAGUCGAGUGACCCUGCGCCGAAAAUGUACCGGGGCUAAACAUAUUACCGAAGCUGUGGAGUACGCCUUUAGGUGUAUUGGUAGGAGAGCGUUCUAAGGGCGUUGAA
rnacentral:rRNA from 1 species